rnacentral:rRNA from 1 species
CCUACGGGAGGCUGCAGUGGGGAAUAUUGGACAAUGGGGGAACCCUGAUCCAGCCAUGCCGCGUGUGUGAAGAAGGCCCUCGGGUUGUAAAGCACUUUCAGUGAGGAAGAACGCCUGGUGGUUAAUACCCAUCAGGAAAGACAUCACUCACAGAAGAAGCACCGGCUAACUCCGUGCCAGCAGCCGCGGUAAUACGGAGGGUGCGAGCGUUAAUCGGAAUUACUGGGCGUAAAGCGCGCGUAGGUGGCUUGAUAAGCCGGUUGUGAAAGCCCCGGGCUCAACCUGGGAACGGCAUCCGGAACUGUCAAGCUAGAGUGCAGGAGAGGAAGGUAGAAUUCCCGGUGUAGCGGUGAAAUGCGUAGAGAUCGGGAGGAAUACCAGUGGUGAAGGCGGCCUUCUGGACUGACACUGACACUGAGGUGCGAAAGCGUGGGUAGCAAACAGGAUUAGAUACCCUGGUAGUC